GUUCCUCUCACUCGGAAUAAGAAACAAUUGACAUGUUACAAAAGUCAUAACCACCUCCAUCAGCGGCAGCAACACCACCACCCCCACCAGCAGUCACAGCCAAACGCGUCUACUCUCUGCUUCAAAAUCAAACCUCCAAACGAAAAACACAGUCAAGAAAACCAAAAAUGUCAGCCCUAAUCUACCAAUUAUUCUCCUCCUCAGCUCUCAUCUCUCUCGGUCUCUACCACCUCAUCUCCACCACCCGCAACUUCCUCAAAUCCCCUCAGUCUUUCUCCGCCAGACCCCACCACCCCCUCCCUUCCUCCUUCCCCCGUCUCAAACACCUCCAUCUCUUCCUCCUCAUCCUCUGCCUCCUCAUCGCCUUCACUCACCAAGCCCUAAUUUCCUCUGACUCCGAUCCUCUCCUCAAGGGCCGCACCCCUGUUCACCGCUUCACCUCCCUUCAAUCUGCCGCUCUUCUUUUCCUCUUUUUUAUUGUCUCUGUUGCUCUUCUUCUUUCUGAAUCUACUCCUCUUCUUCCUCUCCCUCCCGAUCUCUUCUUCGCUCUCGGUUCUGCUCUUUUUUUCUUGCAAUACUCCGUCUCUUCCUCUGCUGCUUCCGUUCAGACCUCCGAUCUCCAAGCCAAAUGCGAUUCUGUUUCUGCUCAAAUUUCCGCUGUUGUUGCUUUACUCUGCUUGAUUCUUGCCUUCCAGCCUAGGAUUUUCAUUGCUGAUGUUGGAUUGGCCGGCGCCAUUUGCUUGCAGGGCCUUUGGGUUCUUCAGACUGGACUUUCGCUUUAUGUUGAAGCGUUUAUUCCUGAAGGUUGUCAUCGGUUGCUUGAUGUGGUGAGUGGGGUUGAGGGUUCCACCAAGUGUGAUCUGGAGGAAUCUAGGUUGAGGGCGGUAGCUAUUUUGGAUCUUUUGUUUGUGGUUCACGUCAUGUUUGUGGUUCUCAUUGUUAUGGUUACGUACGCUGUUAUGGCUAGGACUUUUGGGGUCAGAAGAAUGGGGUCAUACGAGGCUUUGCCUACUACUGUUUCUGAUUCUAAUCAUAUUCAGAUGAAGGCCUUGACUGGCACCCAGGCUUGAUUUUUUGGACUUUGGCGGUGGUGCGCUUUCCCCUUUAGUCCCUCUCUUUCUUUGUUAAAAUAGAUUUUUCUUUUAAAAAAAAUUCUUUUGUUAUGAUUCUUGUGGUACUGGGGAAUCAUAUAUUGUGUCGCUUGUUUUAGCUUAUCUCAACACUGUAACCUCCUGGAAAUUGAGGGAUUUUUGUGCAUAGAAAGUGUCUCCUUUUUUAUUUGAUUAAACUAUUUGGCAGUGUCUUCACUGGAUUUUUUCUUUAUCUCACUUUGAGUACUAGCUUCUUUGAUAGUGCAAACUCCAAUGAUAUAAGGGAUAGAAAUUUAGUAAUGUGUUUGGAACUGGCUUACUCGUUAUCGAUCUUUAACCUUGCUUGCUUUGUUAUGCUUUAAACAAGUAAAAGUAAGUCUCUUGGCAUUUAAAUGAAGGAAUCGAUAUCUCCUGCACUAGAUUUUACUUGAUAUUGUUCAAAACAACUUGUUUAUAGAUUUACAAUUUGGUUAUUCAGUUGCUAAGUCUUCAAUAUUGCUUGUACCCAAGAUUACAUCUAUUAUGCACCAUGUUCAAUGAUGAUGAAUCUAAAGGUGGGUGUACUGCCUCAUUGUAGUUUGAUACAAAUUUGAGCAUGGGAUUUGGAGAUUCAUUGAAAUUGUGAGGCAGGGAAUGCAAGAUAGUGAAUUAUAUAGUAGGCUUUUUAUAAGACUUGAAAGUUAAUGGACUUUAUAUCACAAUGCAUUCUAAAUGCCUCUAUUCUAUGCUAUUGUUAUGGCAACUUAACUUUACUCUAGCAUAAGGGAAUACUACAUACUCA
rnacentral:misc_RNA from 1 species